AAAAACAGACAAAAAAUACAAAACAAAACAAACAAAUGCAUCGCCUCCGAGCGCUUAGUAGUUGCCUUUUCUUGUAGAAGAAACGACGUCUGCAGGCAGACCCAGACCCCGCGUCACACCAAGCAGACCUUUGAAGACUCACUUACACGUCGGCAUUUACAGACAGAACAGAACCGAAUGUUUCCGAAUGCCAGAACGGACUAGUGAGCAUUUACUCAAACACACACAGGCAAAGACUCUCUUGUGAAUUCCAUUAACGUAUACUUAUUUUUUAUGCUUAUGUACAAGUUAGUUAUACUAUAUACAUACUACUUAUAUAUACGAUAUACUUUAUGCCUACACGCUGAAAAAAACCUUCGCUCCGAUUCCAAAUAUUUAGUUUGUAAGCCAAAAAGUGAGAGACAAAGAGAGAGAAAACGAUUUCGAAUAUUUUUCCAAUCAUUCGUUGUAUUUAUGCGUAUUUUUUAGCGAAGGUUAGGAUACAAAAUGAAAUGUAAUGAAAGACAAAUGCAAUACCGACUAGACUCUAGCCCACAUACGAGAAAUGAGAACAUCAAAGUACAAUUACACUCAACAA